UACGAACCGUGCGAGCGUUGUUCGGAAUCACUGGGCAUAAAGGGCGCGUAGGCGGCCAACUAAGUCAGACGUGAAAUCCCUCAGCUUAACUGGGGAACUGCGUCUGAUACUGGAUGGCUUGGAUUCGGGAGAGGAAUGCGGAAUUCCAGGUGUAGCGGUGAAAUGCGUAGAUAUCAGGAGGAACACCAAUAGCGAAGGCAGCUCGCUGGGACGGUACUGACGCUAAGGCGCGAAAGCGUGGGGAGCGAACAGG
rnacentral:rRNA from 1 species